UCAUCCUUUCACCUAUGUUUUAUGCAUUGUAGUUCUACCAUCCUAUGCCCAAUUGCAUGCUGCCUAGGUACUUGGAAAUUUUGGUGUAAGUUGUAGUAUCAUGUGGUAGGAACACAACAACCCCGACACUUGGCCCCGGGACGACAAUGUUAUAUUUGCUAUGCUUAAGUAGACGGGUUAUCGGUUGAGUGUAUACCACGAGUGAUGUGAGGUUAAUAUAAUAAUCAAGACCGGACUAAGACAAGAUUUUUCAAGACCUCGGACGCAAUGCAACACUGGGUGAAGGACGGUUGACCGGCUCCCUGGAAAACCCAGUGGAUGCCCGGGAUGCUGGAGAGGCCAUGUCAUCCUGCGGAAAGCUUCACCCAGGCUCAAAGAGAUGGACGGAUAUUUUCAAGACCCAAGGCUUACCUGCACAGCCACAAGUCAUUAUGGGCUCUGGCUUGGUUGGACAACGCGGCGACUCUGGACAGGCGGUGCUAGCAGAUGUAGACGAACGGUAGGAAUGGAUGGGCACCGACAGGGAUUCAGAGGGACCCGUUGAAAGACCAUGUUUUGAUCAUCCGGUCUUCAAACACCCUGAAGUGCGAGGACAAACCCGGAGGCGAUCAAAUCUUGUGGGGAACGUGUGCAAAACUCUGCAG
rnacentral:lncRNA from 1 species